rnacentral:misc_RNA from 1 species
UGCGGCUGGAUCCCCUCCUUUCUGGAAAAUGCAUCCAAAUUCUCGCGCCCACACUUAUCGGCUGUGUAGUUGACAACAGUAUGUGAGCGUGAGCUGUCCGAGCCUGCCUCGGCUGUGCCAUGGCGCCGGUCGACACGAUGCUGAUCCCUCAUGGCUCCGCAGCGAACAUGAAGGGUCUGUAGCUCAGUUGGUUAGAGCACCGUCUUGAUAAGGCGGGGGUCGUUGGUUCGAGCCCAACCAGACCCACCAUCUUCAUGGGGGAUUAGCUCAGCUGGGAGAGCACCUGCUUUGCAAGCAGGGGGUCGUCGGUUCGAUCCCGUCAUCCUCCACCACCAGAUUUCUCAAGUCAGUCGCUUCCCCGAGCGGCCCGGCGUAUCGGGCUGCUGGUGAAAGCGUCUCGAAGGAGUCGGCUGUUGUUCUUUAACAAUUCGUAGAGUCGAAUCAGCGUUGUUGGCGGAAACCGCUUCAUGGCGGACCGUGCCGCCAACAACAUUUUGAUUGCGUCACCAAGAAUCAACUCGCAAGAGUUUGAAGAACGGCAUAACGCGAAUACUCACCAGUCCUUGACGACGCCUUUCAGCGAGGCGUCAAAGUUAUAGGGUCAAGUGACUAAGUGCAUGUGGUGGAUGCCUUGGCGAUUACAGGCGAUGAAGGACGUGAUAGCCUGCGAUAAGCUUCGGGGAGCUGGCAAAUUAGCUUUGAUCCGGAGAUUUCCGAAUGGGGAAACCCG